ACCUUAUAAAGAUGUAGUUACGCAAGACAGUAACGCAUUUCCCUUUAAGGCGAUAUUAGAUAUAGAAGUAUAAGUGAAAAGUCUUAUUGUGAAGCUACACGUUGAAAUAGGAUGAGCUUAUAUGGAAAAGGUUAACCGUAAGACCUUAUGUUGAAAAACAUUAAAAUUGACCUAAGAAUAAGAAUAUUUUUGUUAUUUUUAGUUACGGCGGU
rnacentral:ncRNA from 1 species